rnacentral:lncRNA from 9 species
ACAGUCUGAUGGCCAUCAGCCAUUUCAGCGUGUAUAUUAUCUGGGCAUUCAUUCCAUGAGGUUUUCUCUAGUUCUUUUUUUUUUUUUUUUUUCUCUUUCAAAACUCCGAGAUCAUUUCUGGCACUAGUUCCCUGAAACCUAAAUUAGUUAAAUUUUCACUGAUAUUUAGAGAAAGCUUUUGUUCAUCUCAUAAAGAACCUCCAGUCUUUUUGAAGACAGAGAACUUAAAAGUCAGCUUUGGGGCAGAAUUCAUGUGUCUUUGUCUCUUUCAGUUGAUCUUGGCAACACCACACAUGUAACCCAAGACCAAAAUAAAGUUAUGUUCGGAAGGCAGUCACGAUUCAGUGAUCUUAUCCUGCAGAACGCCUUCUCUUGGCGUUUACAUCAUAUAAUUUGGUAAGCGGUUUACACAUUGACUCCUGUGAUUUUCAAGGGGCUUUUAUGAUCUGCCAAGUGGACAAAUGUCAACAGGCUUUAAGGAUUGAUUUACCAGGAUUUCUGUCUCUUGUGAACAGCUUACUGCAGCUCAGAAUGAAACACAUGUAAACAAGCUCAGCAAUCUUAGUGGAAAAUGUGGUUCCCACCAGACGUGGUGGCUUGAUCAGAAAUCCUGGUGGAGCUGUCUCUGUCCCUGCUUGGUCUUGGAAGUGUAACAGUUUUCCCUUUCACAGAAUCGUCCUGGAAAAGUUCUGAGUCUGCAAAACUGCCAGUGUGCAGCCAGAGGAUGAAAGUGGUGAGGUGUCAGCCCCCAGGAGCCCGAGGCUCACAGGCUGCAAGUCUUACCCCAAACGCCUGCUCUACUUUCUCCUGGCACUCACCCAAUGGGCCCAACCCUCAGAACCUUGAACAUGUUUGUGUAACCAGAGGUAAUGCCCUGCCAUGGGUACCAGGGGUGCAGACCUGCAGAUUUCAACUUCAAGUGGGAACUGAGCUUUACCCAUGAUGAAGGCCAAAAAAGAAGAUAAGAAAAAUAAGGAGUUCCCGUUGUGGCGCAGUGGUUAACGAAUCCGACUAGGAACCAUGAGGUUGCGGGUUCGAUCCCUGCCCUUGCUCAGUGGGUUAAGGAUCCGGCGUUGCCGUGAGCUGUGGUGUAGGUCUCAGACGCGGCUUGGAUCCCGCGUUGCUGUGGCUCUGGCGUAGGCUGGCAGCUACAGCUCCGAUUCGACC